rnacentral:lncRNA from 1 species
CUGGGGUUCAGUUUCAACGGGGCAGGCAAGGACUAGGGAGUGGAAAGUUUAGACAGAGGUGGAAAGAAUCAACCAGCUCUCCAUGGCCAAUGCAAGCAACAGCAAGAACCCGGCGCCAAGACAAUGGCCCAGGCACUGGGGAGCGGGAGAGUGGGUGAUCCGAAGGUCGUCUUCUCCUCUGGCCAUGCUUUCUGAAUGACUCUGGUAUACUCAUCACUUCUGUGGCCUCUCAGUCCACUUGGGUAUAGCUUCUGCUCUCCUCCACGUCAUGAAGUCUCUCCCCAAGGACCCCAACGAGCUCCAAGACACUAAAUCAACCAGACACUUGUUCUUCAAUAGCCUUUUAUGCGGUGAAGACUCUUCAACUCUCGUGCGACUCUCUGUCCAACUUCGUACUAGACAGCUCCGUUCGGCUACUUUGCUAUAACAAAGAGAAUGCAAAAUACAGUGGCUCAAGGAAGACAGAAAUUUAUGCUCUUUCACACCACCGUGCAGAGUCUGGGGAGGUCUGUUCCACAAAGGUGUCCAGAGACUUUGGUUUUUCUACCUUGCUGCUUCACCAUCUAGGGUACUGUCCUCUUCCACAGAGUGGCAUAUGUCUCAACAGCACUGUGUUCCAGCAUGCAUGAAAGGGAAGAGGAAGCUGAAGGCGACCAGGCCCCUUUUACAAAAGUGACGCAGCACAUGGCACUUACACACCCAACCUGGGUGGCCAUACCUAGUUGCAAGCUAAGCUAGGGAGAGUGGCCUUGCAGUCAGUUAAAGCUGAGGCAUUUUGUUGCAAAAGUGAAAAAUAGAAGGCCCUGGGCUUUUUCAAUCCUUGCUAGAAGGAUAAGAAAUUAAGAAAAUCUGUAUAAGUGACCUGAGGCACAAAGACAAAGUUUAUCCAACUGACUAGUCAGAUCAUG